rnacentral:lncRNA from 7 species
AUCCAGAACACGCAGAGGAGAAUAGCAGCCUUAGCUCUGGAUUCCACAAUUUAAUGGAAUUCAGGAUUGUGUGGGGUAGCUGAUGGGGGAUUCUGAGGCUCUGAAACAGGACAACCAACCAUGAAGGCAACUGACAUUCCUGCAACACUUAGGACUCACUUUAGAAUCACAGAAUCACCAAGGUUGGAAAAGCCCUCGAAGAUCAUCUGCUCCAGCGUUCCACCACUUUAGGAAGGAGCUGUUUUUUUUCUAAAGCAAUGUUCUCAGGCUUAUGGGAGCACUCAGCGAAGAGGCUGCUGGAGGCAGGUGAAGGAAUGUCAGAGAAACGAGGAGAGUUCCGCUUAUACACAGUAGUGAAAAUUCUGCAACCUGGAGCUGUGCAGAUGGGCGCCUGCAUCUACGCCUCAUCACAAAGUAACCGGGCUACUUGCUCACAGAGCUCCCGCUGCUUUUCCUCAUUUAUAUUGUUUUCAGAUAAACUACUGUGUUUUUCAAAGACUUGAUGUCUCUCAAACACUGCAGAUUAACAGAACCAUAUUGCUUUAUUCGCGUCAAGGACAUCAUCAUCAGAGGUGGCAGAUAGCAGGAAUACGCAGCUGGAGGGACAGGAAGAAGAACUUGGUGAGAGCAAGUGAACAGGAACAGAAGUGAACAGUAAAGCUUUGAAGGUAACAGAGCGCUGGAACAGGAUGCCCAGAGAGGUUGUGGAGUCUUCUCCUCUGGAGAUAUUCAAAACCCACACAGAUGCUUUCCUGUGCAACCUACUGUAGGGAACCUGCUUCAGCAGGGGGGUUGAACUGACGAUCUCCAGAGUUCCCUUCCAACCCCCGUGAUUCUGUGACUGCAGGACUGUGUGAAGACUGUGUUAGAAAUGUGCUGGAGAUAGGUAGAGCGGCGAAAGAUAAGUAGUUUUUAACCAAAAAGGCAAAUUAUUAGCCUACGGGAACAAACCUUUCAGAAGUAUCUUGGAAUUUUAAUGUUCACAUACCUGCCU